rnacentral:rRNA from 1 species
ACGCACGCUGGCGGCGUGCUUAACCCAUGCCAGUCGAACGUGAUUUUUGUGGAAAUUCUUUCGGGAAUGGAAAUGAAAUGAAAGUGGCGAACGGGUGAGUAACACGUGAGCAACCUACCUUACACAGGGGGAUAGCCGUUGGAAACGACGAUUAAUACCGCAUGAGACCACAGAAUCGCAUGAUAUAGGGGUCAAAGAUUUAUCGGUGUAAGAAGGGCUCGCGUCUGAUUAGCUAGUUGGAAGGGUAAAGGCCUACCAAGGCGACGAUCAGUAGCCGGUCUGAGAGGAUGAACGGCCACAUUGGAACUGAGACACGGUCCAAACUCCUACGGGAGGCAGCAGUGGGGAAUAUUGCACAAUGGGGGGAACCCUGAUGCAGCGACGCCGCGUGAGCGAAGAAGGUUUUCGAAUCGUAAAGCUCUGUCCUAUGAGAAGAUAAUGACGGUAUCAUAGGAGGAAGCCCCGGCUAAAUACGUG